rnacentral:rRNA from 1 species
UACGUAGGGCGCAAGCGUUAUCCGGAAUUAUUGGGCGUAAAGAGCUCGUAGGCGGUUUGUCGCGUCUGCCGUGAAAGUCCGGGGCUCAACUCCGGAUCUGCGGUGGGUACGGGCAGACUAGAGUGAUGUAGGGGAGACUGGAAUUCCUGGUGUAGCGGUGAAAUGCGCAGAUAUCAGGAGGAACACCGAUGGCGAAGGCAGGUCUCUGGGCAUUAACUGACGCUGAGGAGCGAAA